rnacentral:sRNA from 1 species
UUCUAGAAUUAUUAGUUUAUUGCAGUUUAAUGGACAAAUCGACACAAAAUCUGGCGCCCGAAGUGGAUCCGAUGACCAGGCAGAAAACUACAAUCUUUAUUUGACGUUCGUUGUUUUAGAUUGGUUCCAUUGAGCAGGGAGUCGUGGUGCCAAGGCGACGGACAGAAGUGUCCCAUCCAAGGAUUUCCUGGAUUGCCAGUUAGUUUAAGCUAAUAAUGUAUGUAUAGUCGUACCUACUUUUAUACCUGUAUGUGCCUCUGGUAGGGGCUUUGGCAGACAUCGUUGGAGUGACAUCCGUUCUGGCCCCGGAAGAAACAAAUAAACUUAGUCAGUGGGGGUUUUUUUCACAUCGAAUAAACAUCUGUUUUAUUUGCAUUUCAGGGAGGUCGCAGCUCAGGGGAAAGAUUGGGGAAGGGGUGUUUUGUCACAUUUAAUUGCAAGUGCUAAAUGAGUUGAGUUUAUCUUUCGUUUUCGUUUUCUUUUUCGUUUAACUAUUAUUUUUACCGAUAUUCUUACGUUGCUCUGAUUAUUACCACCCACUCUAUUACCACUCGGAUAUUUUUCUCUAGAUACUCGUAUUGUUUGCUUGUAUGUAUGUAUGUAUUUUCCGCUAGCUACCCAAUCUCUUCUAUGUCUAUGAAUGUGCCGUGCCUCAGGAAGCUCGGUUCCGUAGUCCCUAGUCCUCUGAAACGGAGGAACACCGAAGCCUCGCUUCCCUGCGACACACUGAAUCGUACUGGUAAUCGUAUAAUCGCAUACAUAUAUGUAUCUAAAACCGAAUUUACACACUAAAAACGUGAAGCAGUUUUUCGGAGACAAGACAAGACAAGACAAAACAAAAACUAAAAC